rnacentral:tRNA from 1 species
CAUAGCUCAGUUGGUUAGAGCGUCGCGUUGUGGCCGCGAAGGUCGUGGGUUCGAAUCCCAUUGG